rnacentral:rRNA from 1 species
UUAAGUUAUUAAGGGCGCACGGUGGAUGCCUUGGCACUAGAAGCCGAUGAAGGACGUUACUAACGACGAUAUGCUUUGGGGAGCUGUAAGUAAGCUUUGAUCCAGAGAUUUCCGAAUGGGGAAACCCAGCAUGAGAUUCCCUUAGUAGCGGCGAGCGAAACGGGAAGAGCCCAAACCAACAAGCUUGCUUGUUGGGGUUGUAGGACACUCUAUACGGAGUUACAAAGGACGACAUUAGACGAAUCAUCUGGAAAGAUGAAUCAAAGAAGGUAAUAAUCCUGUAGUCGAAAAUGUUGUCUCUCUUGAGUGGAUCCUGAGUACGACGGAGCACGUGAAAUUCCGUCGGAAUCUGGGAGGACCAUCUCCUAAGGCUAAAUACUCUCUAGUGACCGAUAGUGAACCAGUACCGUGAGGGAAAGGUGAAAAGCACCCCGGAAGGGGAGUGAAAUAGAACCUGAAACCGUGUGCUUACAAGUAGUCAGAGCCCGUUAAUGGGUGAUGGCGUGCCUUUUGUAGAAUGAACCGGCGAGUUACGAUUUGAUGCAAGGUUAAGCAGUAAAUGUGGAGCCGUAGCGAAAGCGAGUCUGAAUAGGGCGUUUAGUAUUUGGUCGUAGACCCGAAACCAGGUGAUCUACCCUUGGUCAGGUUGAAGUUCAGGUAACACUGAAUGGAGGACCGAACCGACUUACGUUGAAAAGUGAGCGGAUGAACUGAGGGUAGCGGAGAAAUUCCAAUCGAACCUGGAGAUAGCUGGUUCUCUCCGAAAUAGCUUUAGGGCUAGCCUCAAGUGAUGAUUAUUGGAGGUAGAGCACUGUUUGGACGAGGGGCCCCUCUCGGGUUACCGAAUUCAGACAAACUCCGAAUGCCAAUUAAUUUAACUUGGGAGUCAGAACAUGGGUGAUAAGGUCCGUGUUCGAAAGGGAAACAGCCCAGACCACCAGCUAAGGUCCCAAAAUAUAUGUUAAGUGGAAAAGGAUGUGGCGUUGCCCAGACAACUAGGAUGUUGGCUUAGAAGCAGCCAUCAUUUAAAGAGUGCGUAAUAGCUCACUAGUCGAGUGACACUGCGCCGAAAAUGUACCGGGGCUAAACAUAUUACCGAAGCUGUGGAUUGUCCUUUGGACAAUGGUAGGAGAGCGUUCUAAGGGCGUUGAAGCAUGAUCGUAAGGACAUGUGGAGCGCUUAGAAGUGAGAAUGCCGGUGUGAGUAGCGAAAGACGGGUGAGAAUCCCGUCCACCGAUUGACUAAGGUUUCCAGAGGAAGGCUCGUCCGCUCUGGGUUAGUCGGGUCCUAAGCUGAGGCCGACAGGCGUAGGCGAUGGAUAACAGGUUGAUAUUCCUGUACCACCUAUAAUCGUUUUAAUCGAUGGGGGGACGCAGUAGGAUAGGCGAAGCGUGCGAUUGGAUUGCACGUCUAAGCAGUAAGGCUGAGUAUUAGGCAAAUCCGGUACUCGUUAAGGCUGAGCUGUGAUGGGGAGAAGACAUUGUGUCUUCGAGUCGUUGAUUUCACACUGCCGAGAAAAGCCUCUAGAUAGAAAAUAGGUGCCCGUACCGCAAACCGACACAGGUAGUCAAGAUGAGAAUUCUAAGGUGAGCGAGCGAACUCUCGUUAAGGAACUCGGCAAAAUGACCCCGUAACUUCGGGAGAAGGGGUGCUCUUUAGGGUUAACGCCCAGAAGAGCCGCAGUGAAUAGGCCCAAGCGACUGUUUAUCAAAAACACAGGUCUCUGCUAAACCGUAAGGUGAUGUAUAGGGGCUGACGCCUGCCCGGUGCUGGAAGGUUAAGAGGAGUGGUUAGCUUCUGCGAAGCUACGAAUCGAAGCCCCAGUAAACGGCGGCCGUAACUAUAACGGUCCUAAGGUAGCGAAAUUCCUUGUCGGGUAAGUUCCGACCCGCACGAAAGGCGUAACGAUUUGGGCACUGUCUCAACGAGAGACUCGGUGAAAUCAUAGUACCUGUGAAGAUGCAGGUUACCCGCGACAGGACGGAAAGACCCCGUGGAGCUUUACUGUAGCCUGAUAUUGAAAUUCGGCACAGCUUGUACAGGAUAGGUAGGAGCCUUUGAAACGUGAGCGCUAGCUUACGUGGAGGCGCUGGUGGGAUACUACCCUAGCUGUGUUGGCUUUCUAACCCGCACCACUUAUCGUGGUGGGAGACAGUGUCAGGCGGGCAGUUUGACUGGGGCGGUCGCCUCCUAAAAGGUAACGGAGGCGCUCAAAGGUUCCCUCAGAAUGGUUGGAAAUCAUUCAUAGAGUGUAAAGGCAUAAGGGAGCUUGACUGCGAGACCUACAAGUCGAGCAGGGUCGAAAGACGGACUUAGUGAUCCGGUGGUUCCGCAUGGAAGGGCCAUCGCUCAACGGAUAAAAGCUACCCCGGGGAUAACAGGCUUAUCUCCCCCAAGAGUUCACAUCGACGGGGAGGUUUGGCACCUCGAUGUCGGCUCAUCGCAUCCUGGGGCUGUAGUCGGUCCCAAGGGUUGGGCUGUUCGCCCAUUAAAGCGGUACGCGAGCUGGGUUCAGAACGUCGUGAGACAGUUCGGUCCCUAUCCGUCGUGGGCGUAGGAAAUUUGAGAGGAGCUGUCCUUAGUACGAGAGGACCGGGAUGGACAUACCUCUGGUGUACCAGUUGUCGUGCCAACGGCAUAGCUGGGUAGCUAUGUGUGGACGGGAUAAGUGCUGAAAGCAUCUAAGCAUGAAGCCCCCCUCAAGAUGAGAUUUCCCAACUUCGGUUAUAAGAUCCCUCAAAGAUGAUGAGGUUAAUAGGUUCGAGGUGGAAGCAUGGUGACAUGUGGAGCUGACGAAUACUAAUCGAUCGAAGACUUAAUCAA